GGACUACUCGGGUUUCUAAUCCUGUUUGAUCCCCGCACUUUCGAGUCUCAGUGUCAAUGUUGGGCCAGACCGCCGCCUUCGCCACCGGUGUUCCUCCAGAUAUCUACGUAUUUCACCACUACACCUGGAAUUCCACGGUCCUCUCCCACAUUCAAGCUUAACAGUAUCAAAAGCACUUCCUGGGUUAGGCCCAGGGCUUUCACUCCUGACUUGAAAAGCCACCUACACUCGCUUUACGCCCAAUGAUUCCGAGCAACGCUUGGACCCCUCGUAUUACCGCGGCUGCUGGCAC
rnacentral:rRNA from 1 species